GCGGGUGUAGUUCAAUGGUUAGAAUACCAGCCUUCCAAGCUGGCUGUGUGGGUUCGAUUCCCAUCACCCGCUCCA
rnacentral:tRNA from 1 species